rnacentral:rRNA from 1 species
UACAGAGGGUGCGAGCGUUAAUCGGAAUUACUGGGCGUAAAGCGCGCGUAGGCGGCUUUUCAAGUCGAUUGUGAAAUCCCCGGGCUUAACCUGGGAACUGCAGUCGAGACUGUCUAGCUAGAGUAUGGGAGAGGGAAGUGGAAUUUCAGGUGUAGCGGUGAAAUGCGUAGAUAUCCGAAGGAACAUCAGUGGCGAAAGCGACUUCCUGGACCAAUACUGACGCUCAUGUGCGAAAGCGUGGGGAGCAAACAGG